AACGAACGCUGGCGGCAUGCCUAACACAUGCAAGUCGAACGAGACCUUCGGGGCUAGUGGCGCACGGGUGCGUAACGCGUGGGAACCUGCCCUUAGGUUCGGAAUAACUCCCCGAAAGGGGUGCUAAUACCGGAUAAUGUCUUCGGACCAAAGAUUUAUCGCCUUUGGAUGGGCCCGCGUUGGAUUAGCUAGUUGGUAGGGUAAAAGCCUACCAAGGCGACGAUCCAUAGCUGGUCUGAGAGGAUGAUCAGCCACACUGGGACUGAGACACGGCCCAGACUCCUACGGGAAGCAGCAGUGGGGAAUAUUGGACAAUGGGCGAAAGCCUGAUCCAGCAAUGCCGCGUGAGUGAUGAAGGCCUUAGGGUUGUAAAGCUCUUUUACCCGGGAGGAUAAUGACAGUACCGGGAGAAUAAGCUCCGGCUAACUCCGUG
rnacentral:rRNA from 1 species